rnacentral:rRNA from 1 species
CACGUAGGCACCAAGCGGUGUCCGGAUUUAUUGGGCGUAAAGAGCUCGUAGGCGGUUCGGUAAGUCGGGUGUGAAAACUUUGGGCUCAACCCAAAGCCUGCACUCGAUACUGCUGUGACUUGAGUCCGGUAGGGGAGUGGGGAAUUCCUGGUGUAGCGGUGGAAUGCGCAGAUAUCAGGAGGAACACCGGUGGCGAAGGCGCCACUCUGGGCCGGUACUGACGCUGAGGAGCGAAAGCGUGGGGAGCGAACAGG